UACCCCAGCUUUAAUCUAUAUUAAAUGAUUAGUUUCACAAGAUGAAAGCCUGUUGUUUGUUUAACAAAACUUUCCCAGGUACAGUCACUGCCUGAAGCCUGCCAAAGGUUGAAGAUACAGAGAGAGAGAGAGUUUGCACAACCCAAACAUGUUCUUCAGGCGUUCUUGGUUCUAGAAAUUGACAUCAGCGCUGCUCGUUCUUAUAUAUUAAACAUAUGUAAGCAUACUGUAUAUAGAAGCAUUACUAUAUUCAAACCUGCCUACGAGGGGCAAAUUUAUCAGCAAGUCCUUUGCGUUGUUGACGGGUUAAAGGGACCUUUUUAUUAGCCGUAAUGCUGGGAAGAGAUCUGCCGGGAGAUGGAAUAAUUGUUUGGAAUGGGGAUUCUCAGCGGACUCUUCUGAGCUUGUCAGCUGGUGUUUGAAGUGUGCGCUGACAUUGGGAAAAACUCAAGGGCAAGUGUUGAGCAGGAAACAGGCUCUUAAAUGGAAAAGGGAGGGGAGCGAAAGAGAACAGAAGAGGAAAAACAAAGGCUUAGACCCUCGAAAGGCUUAAGAACCUCAAGGAUCUGGAAAAAAGACCUUGAGUUUUCCACUUUGAGAGUCAACCAACAUGAAACAAAGUGGAGAAGGACUCCUCACUUAGUCUACACUCAGGAGGGCUCUACCUUUACCAUGUUGGAGAGAAGCGGCAUCUCUGAAAUAAUUUAAGUAGCCCUUUUUUGAAAGCCCAGACAAGUUAAGAGAAUUCACAUCUAAGAUCAAAGCUGUACUGUUGCAGUGCCACUGGAGGUUGCAGAUGGGUUGGAGCCUAUCCCAGUGUCUUGGACCACAGGCAGGGGACACCCUCAAUGGAUGGCCAAUAUUAA